UGAGCAGUCGCUGGAGCAGGUCUUCUCAA
rnacentral:piRNA from 2 species